rnacentral:rRNA from 1 species
CCUACGGGUGACAGCAGUGGGGGAUAUUGCACAAUGGGGGAAACCCUGAUGCAGCGACGCCGCGUGGGUGAAGAAGUAUUUCGGUAUGUAAAGCCCUAUCAGCAGGGAAGAAAGAAGACGGUACCUGACUAAGAAGCCCCGGCUAACUACGUGCCAGCAGCCGCGGUAAUACGUAGGGGGCGAGCGUUAUCCGGAUUCACUGGGUGUAAAGGGAGCGUAGACGGCCGUGCAAGCCAGGAGUGAAAGCCCGGGGCCCAACCCCGGGACUGCUCUUAGAACUGUGCGGCUGGAGUGCGGGAGGGGCAGGCGGAAUUCCUGGUGUAGCGGUGAAAUGCGUAGAUAUCAGGAGGAACACCGGCGGCGAAGGCGGCCUGCUGGACCGCGACUGACGUUGAGGCUCGAAAGCGUGGGGAGCGAACAGGAUUAGAUACCCGGGUAGUC